rnacentral:rRNA from 1 species
AUUGAACGCUGGCGGCAGGCCUAACACAUGCAAGUCGAGCGGAAGAAGGGAGCUGGCUCCUGGAUUCAGCGGAGGACGGGUGAGUAAUGCCUAGGAAUCUGCCUGGUAGUGGGGGAUAACGUCCGGAAACGGGCGCUAAUCCCGCAUACGUCCUGAGGGAGAAAGUGGGGAUCUUCGGACCUCACGCUAUCAGAUGAGCCUGGGUCGGAUUAGCUAGUUGGUGGGGUAAAGGCCUACCAAGGGGACGAUCCGUAACCGGCCGGAGAGGAGGACCAGGCACAGUGGAGGGGAGAGGCGGCAUUGGCACCGAGGGGAGGCAGCGGUGGGGAAGAGUGGACGAAGGGGGGAAGCUUGAACCAGGCGUGGCGGGUGGGUGAAGAAGGGCGUCGGGUGGGAAAGCGGUUUAAGUGGGGAGGAAGGGCUGUAGGUGGGGAGCUUGUUGUUGUGACGGUACCAGCAGAAGAAGCACCGGCUAACUUCGUG